AUCCAGCUGACGAGUCACAAAUAGGACGAGGCGCGCUUCCUGGAU
rfam:Schistosoma mansoni strain Puerto Rico chromosome 1, complete genome